rnacentral:rRNA from 1 species
UACGGAGGAUGCAAGCGUUAUCCGGAAUCAUUGGGUUUAAAGGGUCCGCAGGCGGGUUGUUAAGUCAGGGGUGAAAUCUUACAGCUCAACUGUAAAAUUGCCUUUGAUACUGGCAAUCUUGAAUCAUUAUGAAGUGGUUAGAAUGUGUAGUGUAGCGGUGAAAUGCUUAGAUAUUACACAGAAUACCGAUUGCGAAGGCAGAUCACUAACAAUGUAUUGACGCUCAGGGACGAAAGCGUGGGGAGCACACAGG